rnacentral:rRNA from 1 species
GACGAACGCUGGCGGCGUGCUUAACACAUGCAAGUCGAGCGAAUGGAUUGAGAGCUUGCUCUUAUGAAGUUAGCGGCGGACGGGUGAGUAACACGUGGGUAACCUGCCCAUAAGACUGGGAUAACUCCGGGAAGCCGGGGCUAAUACCGGAUAACAUUUUGAACCGCAUGGUUCGAAAUUGAAAGGCGGCUUCGGCUGUCACUUAUGGAUGGACCCGCGUCGCAUUAGCUAGUUGGUGAGGUAACGGCUCACCAAGGCAACGAUGCGUAGCCGACCUGAGAGGGUGAUCGGCCACACUGGGACUGAGACACGGCCCAGACUCCUACGGGAGGCAGCAGUAGGGAAUCUUCCGCAAUGGACGAAAGUCUGACGGAGCAACGCCGCGUGAGUGAUGAAGGCUUUCGGGUCGUAAAACUCUGUUGUUAGGGAAGAACAAGUGCUAGUUGAAUAAGCUGGCACCUUGACGGUACCUAACCAGAAAGCCACGGCUAACUACGUGCCAGCAGCCGCUGUAA